rnacentral:ribozyme from 1 species
UCGUUUCAUCCCUUUUUUUUUGUUCUUUUUUUUUUUUUUUUUUUUUUUUUU